AUGGACGCGUGGAGCGUAUUGCCAUGGCUCACAAAGAACAUCCGGGCUCUCCACUCUCGGGUAAUGUACUCUUGUGUAGCUACUACUACCUCCGUCCGGGUUUUUAGGUCCCCUCGGUGCCGCACGCUCGUACCACAUUUACAGGGCCGCUCCCUCGGGCGCCAUGCAAAAAGUGAAGGCGCUGCGUCUUCCCAAAGCGCAAUCAAUUCAAAGCUGCUGGCGUAUAGCUUGCAUGCAGAUGGGCUAUUACUAAUACUAUUCCACCCCGCAAUACUAGUACUCCACCCCGCAGAAGCACGAACAGACGCGAGCGCUACCAGCACGCCGCGGCCACCCACGCGACAGCUUGCGAGCAUGCCGCCGCGACCGAAGACGGAGAAAACGGGGCUUCGCCGCCGCCGGCGAGAGGAUGCGCUGCAUCACGUCGUCCAUACUGCGGCGGAGGUAGGCGUGGACGACGUGGCGCUGGCGCAGCACGCCGUCGAGGUCGAUCCUAACGCGGAGACCCAGGCGGGGCGGGGCUUGGAUGCGCCGCCGCCCGACCUCGUCGUUGGUGGGCACGCAGAGCUCGGCGUCGACGAUGGGGCGCUCGUCGAGCAUGGCGUCGAGGUCGAUCCUGACGCGGAGACCCAGGCGGAGCUCGGCUUGGAGGUGCCAGCGCACGCAGAGCUCGUCGUUGGUGAUGCGACUCGGGGUACUUAG
rnacentral:rRNA from 1 species